CACUAUUAGUGCAUUCUAACGGAGAAGGAGCUCGCGCUCAAUGCUGCUGUUCAAUGGGAGGAGAGAGCGGAGAGGGGAGCCAUCUGUCAGCACACACAGAGACCCGUCCCCGGCAGUAAGUAAAAGUGAAGAGGCAAAUUAACUCCACAUUACCGACAAGAUCCCCUCCAGAGAGAACGGGGUCCCACUCUGAGUCGCUUUAGAACCGGAAUGACAGCACUGAGAACCUUUUAAAACACCAUCCAGAUCCUGACAGAGGCUGUGAGCAGCGCUGAGCUUUCCAGUGCCUGCGAUUCGCUGGACAGAGAGACGGUCUGUGCGCGGGGGACACGGGGGACAAAAGAGUUUCCCUAAUCCCCAGUUUGGCAGAUCUGAUCAGGAACUUGUGGGGAAUCCCGGCUGCAGAAUGGAUGGAUUUAAGAUGAUGUGUUAAGGCUAUCGGAUAAGCGCUAGUAGGGUUCUUUCUCUCCUGCUUGGAUUACACAGACGUGUCCUGCCAUGUCCUGGUUGUUGUGGCUGUGGAUUAGCGUGAGCACCCUGCUGCUGUGCCAGGCCACACUGUAUGACACCAUUCAACAGCACCACCUGCCCCAGCCCGGCCCAAACUCCAUCCAGAUCCUCGAGGGUGGAACGUGUGAGGUCAUCGCCGCUCACAGGUGCUGUAACAAAAACCGGAUCGAGGAGCGAUCUCAGACUGUGAAGUGCUCCUGCCUCCCUGGGAAGGUGGCUGGUACAACGAGGAACAAGCCAUCGUGCGUCGACGCCUCCAUUGUGAUUGGCAAGUGGUGGUGUGAGAUGGAGCCGUGCCUGGAGGGAGAGGAAUGCAAGACGCUUCCGGACAAUUCCGGCUGGAUGUGUUCCUCAGGGAACAAAAUCAAGACCACGAGGCCAUUUUCCCCUGGUUGUGUGCUGUUCCAAGUCCAGCUAGAGUGAAAAGAAGUUGACUGGAUGAUUCCAUUUUUCAACUUUUCAAGAACACCCAGCCAUACUCAUCUUUUUAGUUCUGGAACAAAAUGCAAAGAAGAGGGCAAAAAAUGAGACAGAGUGGAAAUCUCACAUCAGAAAGAUUCAUCCUAGGACCUAACAAAGAGCUCUCUUACAGUCCAAACACAAGCCCCUCCAUUACACGGACAGAGUCAUUGCAGAAGUGGAUUACUUGUUCCUCAGGCUUUCCAAAAAAAAGGGAUAUCAUUUGACAAAAAUGGCAUCACUUUGCAUGGUGCCAAUGAUUUUAAAAACCAGACUAAACCUUCUUCGCUGGUGACUUUACACUAACUACAGUAUGCCACAUUUAAAAUGUUAUUGUGCUUUUUCCUUAAGAAACUGCUAUUUAGAGGACGUACAACAUCAUGAGAAGACCCCGUCCCCGCCGUCCCUCAUGCCUUCCCUCAACCCAAGCCGAACAGCAGGGCUCUUCUACACAGGAUCAUUGCUCCUGUGGGUCCUAUAUAUGAAGACUGACUUCAACCAUCGGAAACAUUUUAAGUUACCUGUCAUGUCCGCAUCCUCUAUGACAUCAGCACGCUGGCCCCACGUGAAGCCCCAGAGGCUUAAGACUAUCCAGAACCUCCCGCAGCCCUGCUGCCCCCUGCCUUUGGUCACAGGUACAGCAGGGACCCAGGACAGAACUGAGUGAAGGGUCACUGGACCACCAGGCCAGCUGCUGUUUCCAUCAACAUAUUUGAUGAAGAUGUCACUUCAGUAUAUCUGCAGUUAUUUGUUGGCAUGCUCUGUGUAUUUCAUGGGAGCUCUCUUUGUAUUUAAGUCCUCUGUAUAUAUAUAUAAAAAUGUUUUUGAAAUCUCCAUAACACUCAGUGAAGUAGUUGACAUGCAGAUCCAGCUACCGAGUUCCCCCCUGACAUCAAAAUGGCUGUCUCGUUCAUGGGACACGUGGAUCUUAGUCAGAGGUUGUGAGUGUAACGCUUCCCAUAUGUACAGGACCAUCAGCAGUAUUUGCUUGUAUCAAGAAACUCUAAACCAGCCUCUGGAAAAAAAAUAAUAAUAAAAAAUUGUCGGUCUUGUUUGCUAUCAAGUGAUGUGUUGGAACAGCAGGGACCCCUGUAGUGUGUGUGAAGAUAAAAACACUGUACAGUUUAGUUUCACAAGAGAAGCAAAUACAACAGCAUUCAUGUUCUCUCUAUGGUUGUUAAGUGCAGUAGGCUGCAUAGUAAAAGGCCCUCCUCUUUAAGAGUAUGAUUCAGUUCUAUUACUGUUUUAGUGUCAUGGACAGCCAAUGUUGAUUCAGUCAUACUUGUUCGUUUGUAGAUUUCACUCGAAUAAAUUCAGGCGCAGAAGAAGACAGUGAGAAAAAAAAGUGGCAUUGAUUUAAAAAAAUAAAAGAAUUCAAUAUUAACAGACUCUCCCCGAUAGACAUACAGCCUUAUCAGAAUUAAAAGCAUUUUGUACACAA